GACGGAGGGGGCAAGCGUUGUUCGGAAUUAUUGGGCGUAAAGCGCACGUAGGCGGUUUGUUAAGUCGGAUGUGAAAUCCCUCGGCUCAACUGAGGAAGUGCAUCCGAAACUGGCAGGCUUGAGUACUAAAGAGGGUCGCGGAAUUCCCGGUGUAGAGGUGAAAUUCGUAGAUAUCGGGAGGAACACCGGUGGCGAAGGCGGCGACCUGGGUAGAUACUGACGCUGAGGUGCGAAAGCGUGGGGAGCAAACAGG
rnacentral:rRNA from 1 species